GUGGCGGACGGGUGAGUAACGCGUAAAGAACUUGCCUUACAGACUGGGACAACAUUUGGAAACGAAUGCUAAUACCGGAUAUUAUGACUGAGUCGCAUGAUUUGGUUAUGAAAGCUAUAUGCGCUGUGAGAGAGCUUUGCGUCCCAUUAGUUAGUUGGUGAGGUAACGGCUCACCAAGACGAUGAUGGGUAGCCGGCCUGAGAGGGUGAACGGCCACAAGGGGACUGAGACACGGCCCUUACUCCUACGGGAGGCAGCAGUGGGGAAUAUUGGACAAUGGACCAAAAGUCUGAUCCAGCAAUUCUGUGUGCACGAUGAAGUUUUUCGGAAUGUAAAGUGCUUUCAGUUGGGAGGAAGUCAGUGACGGUACCAACAGAAGAAGCGACGGCUAAAUACGUGCCAGCAGCCGCGGUAAUACGUAUGUCGCAAGCGUUAUCCCGGAUUUAUUGGGCGUAAAGCGCGUCUAGGCGGUUUAGUAAGUCUGAUGUGAAAAUGCGGGGCUCAACCCCGUAUUGCGUUGGAAACUGCUAAACUAGAGUACUGGAGAGGUAGGCGGAACUACAAGUGUAGAGGUGAAAUUCGUAGAUAUUUGUAGGAAUGCCGAUGGGGAAGCCAGCCUACUGGACAGAUACUGACGCUAAAGCGCGAAAGCGUGGGUAGCAAACAGGAUUAGAUACCCUGGUAGUCCACGCCGUAAACGAUGAUUACUAGGUGUUGGGGGUCGAACCUCAGCGCCCAAGCUAACGCGAUAAGUAAUCCGCCUGGGGAGUACGUACGCAAGUAUGAAACUCAAAGGAAUUGACGGGGACCCGCACAAGCGGUGGAGCAUGUGGUUUAAUUCGACGCAACGCGAGGAACCUUACCAGCGUUUGACAUCCCAAGAAGUUAACAGAGAUGUUUUCGUGCCUCUUCGGAGGAACUUGGUGACAGGUGGUGCAUGGCUGUCGUCAGCUCGUGUCGUGAGAUGUUGGGUUUAAGUCCCGCACCGAGCGCAACCCCUUUCGUAUGUUACCAUCAUUAAGUUGGGGACUCAUGCGAGACUGCCUGCGAUGAGCAGGAGGAAGGUGGGGAUGACGUCAAGUCAUCAUGCCCCUUAUACGCUGGGCUACACACGUGCUACAAUGGGUAGUACAGAGAGCUGCAAACCUGCGAGGGUAAGCUAAUCUCAUAAAACUAUUCUUAGUUCGGAUUGUACUCUGCAACUCGAGUACAUGAAGUUGGAAUCGCUAGUAAUCGCAAAUCAGCUAUGUUGCGGUGAAUACGUUCUCGGGUCUUGUACACACCGCCCGUCACACCACGAGAGUUGGUUGCACCCUGAAGUAANCAGGCCUAACCGUAAGGAGGGAUGUUCCC
rnacentral:rRNA from 1 species